rnacentral:rRNA from 1 species
CGGACGGGUGAGUAACGCGUGAGAAUCUGCCAAAAGGACUGGGACAACCACUGGAAACGGUGGCUAAUACCGGAUGUGCCCUGCGGGGUGAAAGGUUAACUGCCUGAAGAUGAGCUCGCGUCUGAUUAGCUAGUAGGUGUGGUAAAGGCGCACCUAGGCGACGAUCAGUAGCUGGUCUGAGAGGACGAUCAGCCACACUGGGACUGAGACACGGCCCAGACUCCUACGGGAGGCAGCAGUGGGGAAUUUUCCGCAAUGGGCGAAAGCCUGACGGAGCAAGACCGCGUGAGGGAGGAAGGCUCUUGGGUUGUAAACCUCUUUUGUCAGGGAAGGACACAAUGACGGUACCUGACGAAUCAGCAUCGGCCAACUCCGUGCCAGCAGCCGCGGUAAUACGGAGGAUGCAAGCGUUAUCCGGAAUUAUUGGGCGUAAAGCGUCCGCAGGUGGCUCAUCAAGUCUGCGGUCAAAGACCGGGGCUUAACCCUGGAAAGGCCGUGGAAACUGAUAAAGCUAGAGUACCGUAGGGGUAGAGGGAAUUCCCGGUGUAGCGGUGAAAUGCGUAGAGAUCGGGAAGAACAUCGGUGGCGAAAGCGCUCUACUGGACGGUGACUGACACUCAGGGACGAAAGCUAGGGGAGCGAAUGGGAUUAGAUACCCCAGUAGUC